ACAAGUGAUGCAAUGCUGCAUUUCUCCAAAUCUCUGACCAUGAAGAAACAAACAAUCCACAUCUCGGAUGGCCUGUACAUUUUUAGCACAUUUCUAUUUUGGGCUUGACUGUUUCCUUUUAAUCAUAAUGAUACAAAAGGAAUGCCCACAUAAAAGGCAAAUAAUUCAUACUUUAAUAAUUUACAUUUCAACACACUACAUUCUAUGGUAACAGCAGUUAUUAAGUGUAAAUUUAGUUUCAUUGUUCAGAGGUUUGUUGACAGAAAGUUAACGUAUAUUCUUCAACAGAUGAAUUCUGACAAACUCAAACAUUAUUUGCAGAUGAUUAUAUUUCUAAAUAAACACAGCGGGAUGCAGGUUCUCGACAUUAAACACAGACGGCAUCACAUUGCCAGGGACGAGUGGACAUGUGUAAUGCAUUUGGUCCAUUUUUAUUUUAUUAUUAUCUACCAUAUUUAGCUGCUCUGAGUCUCUGUCUGGUUCAUGCGCUCAAUCGAGACCCAUAACACAGGAAGAACUAGAAUAAUUCACAGGAAGUACAAGACCUUAACCUCGCCCUUGAGCCCCUUCCAAUAAUGACCUAAACCUGCUGAAGUGUCCUGGAAGAUCCAGAUAAAGCAGGUGCUUUAACGGGGUUUCUACCUGCUCCAGGUGGUUUGGAAAAGAUAUACAAUGUUGCAGAAAGUCAACAUGAAAUCAAACCCGACUCCAGGUGCUUUCUUUCUUCAUACAUGCUACUGAUCUUAUAGUGCACAUUUUUACAAACAAGCUAAAUGAUCUUUCUUCACUAGGAAACACAAGUUAAAUACGGAGUACCAACGGUUUUGUUUUCCAGCAUUGCGUCAUCCUGGAAAGUUUCCGUGUGUCAGCAGAAGGGGCUGAAGAACAGGUUUCGGUUCAGCUACAGAAAGUGUCUUUGCUCUCACAUCACUGGAUGUUUGCAUGCAUAAGUCAUGUGGCAUAUGUGGGAAAAGCAGCUUCUGGUAGAGAACGUACAAUGCCAACAUUUGGAGAGGUUUGGUGUUAUUAUUGCACGUCGUGCUCACAGUGCUGCAGGAGGAGGGAGGAAAUGCAUGCAGGAACCACAGCUUUAAUCGAUAUCUGACCCUCUGGAGAUGGAAGGAAGUGAUGUCAUAGUGGGCAUGAAACAUAACAAUAGUCAGAUUGAAGGAUCAGUUGCUGCAACUAGAAUUGGAAAUGUGGGCCAGAGAGUGAAAAACUACUUUAUUUAAUGUGAAGCGGUGCUGAUACUCACAGAGGAGAUGAAGUUGGAGGCGGUGGUGGUCACAGUGGUGCGGGUGGACGAGCACGAGCUGCGGAGAGCUUUGGCCAGGAACGUCCACAUCACAGCGUUGCAGUCGCAGGCGCUCGUGUCGUGGUGGUGCGUGAAUCUCCUCUGCUCGCCCCAGGUGCGCAGUCCCGUCUCACAGACGCCCUUCAGGUAGUCGGUGCCGAGCGACAGUUUGGCGGAGGAAGACGC